rnacentral:rRNA from 1 species
GAUGAACGCUGGCGGCGUGCCUAAUACAUGCAAGUCGAGCGAAUGGAUUAAGAGCUUGCUCUUAUGAAGUUAGCGGCGGACGGGUGAGUAACACGUGGGUAACCUGCCCAUAAGACUGGGAUAACUCCGGGAAACCGGGGCUAAUACCGGAUAACAUUUUGAACCGCAUGGUUCGAAAUUGAAAGGCGGCUUCGGCUGUCCCUGAUGGAUGGACCCGCGUCGCAUUAGCUAGUUGGUGAGGUAACGGCUCACCAAGGCAACGAUGCGUAGCCGACCUGAGAGGGUGAUCGGCCACACUGGGACUGAGACACGGCCCAGACUCCUACGGGAGGCAGCAGUAGGGAAUUUUGCGCAAUGGACGAAAGUCUGACGCAGCAACACCGCGUGGAGGAUGAAGGUCUUCGGAUUGUAAACUUCUGUUAAUCGGAAAGAAAGUGCAACAAUUAAUAUUUGUUGCAUAUGACGUUACCGGUUUAGAAAGCCACGGCUAACUUCGUGCCAGCAGCCGCCGUAA